GCCGAUGUGGCGGAAUGGCAGACGCAACGGACUUAAAAUCCGUUGGGCCGUAACAGGCCCGUGCCGGUUCGAGUCCGGCCAUCGGCA
rnacentral:tRNA from 1 species